GUGUGUGUGUGUGUGUGUGUGUGUGUGUGUGUGUGUGUGUGUGUGGAGUUACGUCCUACAGGAUUUUCAGGUCUCCACGCCAAGCACAAGGAUCCUAUGAGUUUAUAGCGCAGGUCUCCAGCCUGGUGAUGGUUCUACAUCCGCCCCCUUUGCUCUGGAGGUCGUUGGGGGCUGGGAGAAACAGACCCAGCCUGCUUCCUCCCCCUGACUGCGCCUGUUUGCCCUUCUCGGCAGACGAGAACGCAGGGGUGUCCCGCCCCAUUGGAAAGGCAGCGAAUUUUCAACCCCCCAUGCAGAAACCUGUAACCUGUGAAAUUCACUGCUGGGAGAUCGACGUGAAAUCAAGCGCUUAGCAGGAUGGAUGGCCAAGGGUCAGCCGUUCCUGGGGCUGAGAACCGCCACAAUUACACUGGGUAGGGUACAAAAGGAGGGGCACAACACCGGGGUAUCUCAGGCCAGGAGCCAACCUCAAGCGUCCGGGGUUAGGGGAAACUUCCUCCAAGUGCAUGUUGGCCCCAAACUGUCCACUGCGGGGUCCUUCCAUCUUCUGAAGCAGCUGGUCCCGGGUACUGUUAGAGACAGGAGGAUACCGGGCUUGGGCAACCAGAGCGGAAGCUAGUGUGGACGCACUGUUGGGAUGAAAUCUUGGGCCCGUUGGGAGUCUGUUGCCAUUGGCUUCAGUGGGGCCAGGCCUCUUUGGUCCCCUUGUUUAUGAUGGACCCCAAAAAGGGAUCCGUCCAGUAAAUCAAACUUCUUCAGAGGGGAAGGGCCAGAGAAGAACCCAGGGAAUCUAACCCGUGAUGUUCUCAUCCGUAUAAAUGUCUGACCCUGUAUUGAAUGCUGUGAAGGUCUUGCUCUCGAUGCUGUCUUGUGGCCAUGAGUUCCACCGGCUACAGAGAGCAAAGAAAAUACUCUUGCGCACAGUGCAUCAGGUGACAUUUGCUGCCCUUCACUUUCAGUGAACGCUGUGUAUAACAGGAGGCACAAGGUUUUUGUAUUAGGAGAGAGCGGAGGAUGUUCAACAAAUGGGGUGGGGUGUAUUCACCCAUCAUCCAGGGAACAAAAAGCACCCCCCCCAUUCAGCAUUUGGAUAGACAGGCCCGAGGCCUAGUUAUAAACAGGUUUGUCCCCAGGGAGGCUGCUGUGGGGGGGAUAAAUGUUUGCAGACCCAUACUUUUAAGUGUGCAGGGCAUGAUGGAGGCUGGUUGAUUGCAGGGGGUGUUUCUGUGGAGAGGGGCUGGAAAGGGGGAGUAUAAGGUGAAUGUAGUGGUUGAACUGACCUGGUUACUUUGCAAAGGUUGUGUGUGUGUGUGCGUGUGUGCGCGCGCAGCCACAGAAUUGUGACACUGGCGUGUGCGUGAUACACAAUCCCUGGGAGAAGCGGCUGCCCCCUGGGUAGGGCCAGGGAUGCUGCAGGAGCCUUGUCCUGAACAUAGAAGGGGCUCCUGGGUCUCUGUCCCGCUGCUGCCGUCUCAGACCUCCCCUUCGGCCAUCCUGUCUAGCCAAGCAAAGGUGCUGUUAAGGCCCAUAUGGGGAUGAAGCAGCUGGGCUGGAUGGGAGUGGGGCAUUCCCCGCCUCUGCUCUGCGCUACAGGGAGAGCCACAUCUUGAGUGGCUCUGGGUUUGAGGAGGAGGUGGCUAAGGGGCAGCCCAGCCUCAGAUCGGAAGCCACUAGAUACGCUCCACCGCACGGUAGGGGCUGGAGAGGCAACGCCAGCGGGUGAGGGGACAGGACGGUUGGAGGCUUGGAGGUUCUUGUUAAUGUCAAAUGUUCCCAAUAGCUCACUUUAGCUGUCUGCGACAGGGGAGGCAGUUGAGUAGAGGACAGAGAGCCAGGACUCCUGGGUUCUAUUCCUUGCUCUGGGAGGGGAGUGGGGUCUAGUGGUUAGAGGAGAAGGAUGCUGGGAGCCAGGAUUCCUGGGUUCUAUUCCUGGCUCUGGGAGGGGAGUGGGGUCUAGUGAUUAGAGGAGAGGGGUUGGGGGACUGGGAGUCAGGACUCUUGGGUUCUAUUCCUAUCUUUACCGUUGAUUCCCUGUUGGGCUAGUCACUUCCCACUUCAGUACCUCUGUUUCCCCCCCUCUGAAAUCAUGAUCCUACUUCCCAGUCUCCCAGGGACGUCACGCGUUUGUGACUGCGUGUGAAGGGGCUUGGAGACGUAAAAGCCCUACACGCUGUAAGCACUACGCGGAGCUGGGUUUCUCCAGGGGGUUCUGGUGACUCUGCCUUGGCUCUCAGGGUUUAUAUUGUUACCAAAACUCCCUUGAUUAAAAAUGCAGCCGCAGUGGGGAGGAAAACGUGGUCUAGUGGCUAGAGCACAGGACAGCCGGGUUCCAUUCCCAGCUCUUGCUGGGUGACCUUGAACAGGAUGCAGCACUAUGUGCCUCAGUUUCCCCAUCUGUGAAAUAGGGUGAAUACCUGCCUGACCGUGGUUGUGGGGCUCCCUGUUGUCUGUAAAGCGCCCAGAGGCUGCUGGCUGGGCAGUGCUGCAGAAGCACAGCGUUAGAGAUGAUACACUAGGUCGGGAUUUAUUCCAUCUCUUCCCCCCCCCCCUUUCUCUUACCGUUGGAAAUAGAUCGCCACUAACGAUUCCAAACUGUGAGCUUUAGCUGAGCCAGGCAGCACUGGAAGCAGUGGGUGUGGAGUAGGGCGCUCGGAGAGGGGCUGGGAGCAUGAAGCCUCUUGUAUUCAGUGAUCGCUGUGGAUUGUAAAAAUGCCAAUAAAUCAACUCUUUGGUUUUACUGUU